GCAGGCAUCAAGAUUACGUGAGGAAGCCCAUAACAUGGGAAGUGUCCAUAUGUCAGAAAUUUGUACUGAAUUAAAGAAUUUAAGGUCUUUAGUUCGAGUAUGUGAAAUUCAAGCAACUUUGCGUGAGCAAAGGAUACUAUUUUUGAGGCAACAAAUUAAAGAACUUGAAAAGCUAAAGAAUCAGAAUUCCUUCAUGGUGUGAAAAGUUGUAAACAAUUGCACAUGGUUUUGAGUACAGGAACUAUUAAACUGAUGCCCAGUCUUAACACUUUUGAGCUGCAUUUGAGUAGACUUUGGACCGUUGAGCUGGGCAGAAAAAAAGUUGACAUGGGGAAGGGGACAGGAGGGAGUCAAAUUCAGGGGAAAGAUACAAGAAUGAUUUGUAAAACCCUUGAAAUGUAGAUUUCUUGUAGAUGUAUUCUUCACGUUGUAAAUAUGUUUUGUAGAGUGAAGCCAUGGGAAGCCAUGUGUAUCAGAGCUUAGACAUCCAAAACUAAUCAAUGCUGAGGUGGCUAAAUACCUAGCCUUUUACAUGUAAACCUGUCUGCAAAAUUAGCUUUCUUUUUUUUUCUUUUUUUUUCUUUUUUUUUUAGUUAAUUUAUCAUUCAGAAAUCUUGCAUUUCCUAAAAUUCAAUGCAAGCGCCAGGCGAUCUGUGUCUAAGGCUGCAACAAUUUGGGUAAUGUACAAAAUACCAUGAAACAACUGUUUCCACACUUGCACCGAAUCGAGAGCAGUGCUUCUCCAUUUCUGUUUUACAGAGAAAUGUUUUUCAUUUUCUGUGUUCCAUUUCCCCGUGAAAUCCUAAAUCUGAUUUUAUCAGUUUUUUAAUGCUUCUAAUUUUCUCUUUUCUUAAGGCACUGUUGCUAUGGCACUUUUUCUAUAAUCUUUUCAUUCCUGUGUACAGUAGCUUAAAAUUGCAGUGAUUGAGCAUAACCCACUUGUUUGUAUAAAUUAUUGAAACGUAUUUCCAUUUGCACCCUGUAAGAAUGGACUUAUAGUACUGCUGGGCAUGUGUGCUGAAAGUACAUUACUUGCUCAAAUAUAAGGAAAUAGCCCAAUGAACAUGUUAACAUGGUUGUGGGAGGGGAAAGAGGAAAAAAAAAAAAGCUAGUCAGAUGUGAAUUGUAUCUGUUGUAAUAAACAUGUUAAAACAAAGAAACACUGGUUUUCAUUUCCUUUGGUCAACACAUAUUAAAAUUUGGUCUGUUUGGGGACUCUUUAUUAGAACUGUUCUUGUUGAACACUUUUGUACUUAAAUAAUUCCUCAAGGGAGGUUUUGUUUAAAACUUGUAAACAGGAAAAUGUGUAUAAAAUAUUUAAUGAAAUAUAAAAUUCAACAAGAAUGAUUUAA